GUGGAAGAGCGAGGGAGCGUAGUCGAGCGACCGUCCCGCUGUGGCCACGAGCUCCGACGCUCGGGGAACGUAGGUAGUGUGUGAACUUCCGGCCGAGUGAAGCGGACAGGGGGUUGUUGUAGUUAUAGGGAAGGUGCCGUUGAAGUUGAAAUAGAAGACGAUCGCGUGGUAGAGACGAAACGUAAAGAGAAUAACCGAGCGAGAGAAACAGAAGAAAGGAGGAAGGGAAGAAGUGACACAGCCAGUGCCGUCGAGACCGUGACGGUCGCCGGAGUGUUUGUUAUGCGACGGUGGUACAGUGGCGGUUGACGACGACGACGACGAAGAGGAGGAAGAAGAAGACGAGCGCCCGCCGCCGAGGAGGAAGUGGACGGGGAGGAGGCGGAAGAGGAGAGAAGGAGAAGGAGGAAGAGAAGGAGGAAGACGGGAAAGAGGAGGACGCGGCACAGGAGGCAAAGCAGCUAGCCGUUCCUCGCCGUUGCGAGAGGAGCCGUCGAGUGUGUGCUCUGGUGCGUCGCAGGGAGGGAGGAAGAGGGGAGGAGGGAGGCUCGAAAGGGAGGAAAGACGACGUCGACGACGAGGAAAAAGGAGAGGAAGAAGAGAGGCGGCGGACGAGGAAGUGGAAGACGAGGAAGAAGAAAAGGAAGAUAGUGGCUGCCGGUGGUUGUGGUGUGCCCGCUCCGAAAAAUCUGAGAGAGUUCAGGGCUCGGGAGAGAGGAUUUCCCCCCCCCCUUCUCUCUUCACUCUCUCUCUCUCUCUCUCUCUCUCUCUUUCUUUCUCUCGCUCAUUCUGCUGUCCCUUCUCUUUCCCCACUUGCUCACUCAUUUUCUCUUUCUCAUUCUUCCGUUCCUGUUAUCUCCUCUCUCGGAGAGUGUCGUUUAGUUGUCGUGAAACAAGAAAAUAAUUCGGGCGAAAAAGAAGAAGCGUAGAGAGAGGAAAAAAAGAAAGGGGUGCAAAAGGUGCUGCGUUGGUGUUAUUUUCCCCUCCCCAUUUCCACCCCUCCCUCGCCUGCCCGCACCCCUCGCCGGUGUUUCGAAGAAGGGGGGUUGGUUUAUAGUGCACGUCGAUCGCCGGGGUGUCGUCGUGAGUGUGCAGUGUGCAGUUCGCCAAUUCGUCUUUGUAUCUAUUCUUUCCUUUUUUUUUUUCAUUUCUGUAAAGUGGUGCGACAGUACGAAGAAGAGGGGAUCUCCACCGGGGCAGAGGCUCGAACGCAUGUAGGAACAUGGCCGCAUCCAGCCCCUGCCUCCCUCUAGAGGUUGGCAGCAGCGCAAGAGGCGGCACAAAGGGACCCUGGAUACGCGAGUCAGUACUACGGGAGAAGGUCGAGGUUGGCCGGACUGAGGAGUGGUCUCGGUGACUGGACUAGCUUCGGAGGGGAGUCACUUCAACCUCAUUCAAAAAGGUCAUCGGUGUUUGAAAGAAAAUAUCAUUUUCUGAGCGUGAUAUCGCGGUGAUUCUUCAGGUACCUGGUCUGGUAGACAUGGCACCAGGCCGGGAUCAGGGCGG